rnacentral:sRNA from 1 species
GGCCUGGGGGCGAGGAAGAAGUCCUCGGAGUAUUUCAAGGGGAGACCUAGUUCCCUGCCCUGCCCCGGGCCCAGGGGGCCGCGGUCUGAACUCUGCUCGGCUGGAGGACUCGGUGCUUAACUCCUGUCCCUGCAAGUGUUACUGCCGCCACCAGCCACGCCAUCGCCGCCUGCCACGCAACGUCUCUGCCUGGCUGAGCACAUCCACCAACCACCUGGGCGAGCCACCCUGGGUUGCCACCAUCAAGCUGUCCGGCUCUCUGGUGGCCAGGCUGGAGCACUACGACUUGCAGGCCACCCAUUCCAACUGAGUGUAGUCGGCUCAACACCCUCCACCUUCCCCUCCAUGCCAAUAAAAUAACCAAUCCAG